UACGUAGGGUGCGAGCGUUGUCCGGAAUUAUUGGGCGUAAAGAGCUUGUAGGCGGUUUGUCGCGUCUGCCGUGAAAGCCCAGGGCUUAACCCUGGGUCUGCGGUGGGUACGGGCAGACUAGAGUGUGGUAGGGGAGACUGGAAUUCCUGGUGUAGCGGUGGAAUGCGCAGAUAUCAGGAGGAACACCAAUGGCGAAGGCAGAUCUCUGGGCCGUAACUGACGCUGAGGAGCGAAAGCAUGGGGAGCGAACAGG
rnacentral:rRNA from 1 species